CAGACCUACGGGGCGCAGCAGCCGCGGUAAUACGUAGGUGGCAAGCGUUAUCCGGAUUUACUGGGUGUAAAGGGCGUGUAGGCGGGGACGCAAGUCAGAUGUGAAAACCACGGGCUCAACCUGUGGCCUGCAUUUGAAACUGUGUUUCUUGAGUACUGGAGAGGCAGACGGAAUUCCUAGUGUAGCGGUGAAAUGCGUAGGUAUUAGGAGGAACACCAGUGGCGAAGGCG
rnacentral:rRNA from 1 species